rnacentral:rRNA from 1 species
GACGUAGGUGGCGAACGUUAUCCGGAAUUAUUGGGCGUAAAGGGUGCGUAGAUGGCCUGGCAAGUUAACAGUGGUAAACCGAGGCUCAACCUCGUGGAAGCUGCUAAUACUGUCUGGCUCGAGUACAGAAGAGGUUAACGGAACUCCAUGUGGAGCGGUAAAAUGUGUAGAUAUAUGGAAGAACACCAAUAACGGCGAAGGCAGUUAACUAUUCUGUUACUGACAUUGAGGCACGAAAGCGUGGGGAGCAAAACGG